UAUAACUAAAAAUUACUGUUGGGUUUAAUGUUGGAUUACUAAUUACACGUACAUCUCCACCGCCUGGUGCCCAAGUGUCAUAAACACCACCGAAGAACAUUGCUUUUAAUACUAAAAGUAAAGCACCACUUCCUAAAAGAAUUAAAUGAAUACCAAUAAUAGUAGUCAUUUUAUUUUUAUCUUUCCA
rnacentral:antisense_RNA from 11 species